UUUCGUCUCCAUAAACCCUACGAAUCUGUUUUUGAAUUUGGAUUGGUUUUUAGAGAGUGAUUGCUUUGUGAUUAUAGCUUAUAGGCUUUUAGGGCUGAUUGGUUUACUCUGAUUUUAGAUGGUUCUUGAGGCUAACAUGAAUGUCAAUUGAGUCCUGUUUAUGCUUGUCCGGGAUGUGUUGUCCAUGGCCACAUGCCUGGUGACUAGUUGUCAAUUCUUCCCACUCAGGUUAUAUGUUAUCAAACCUGUUGUUGUUACCUACUCGAUUUGGCUUAUACCAGUGCUUUCUAUACAAUUGUUUUCAACGUAUUUCCUCGCUUACGUUUUUCAAAAUAUUUCUCUCAAACGUGACCCAAGGCUCGAGCAUACGCCGAUAUUGUACGUGAAGUCCGAAUUUCACACGACUGAUUUGUUCGUUAGGUUAGAACAAGUGAUGCACAAUCGCUAGCCUAAGAGUGUGAUUCUGACACCUAGGACUGAGAGCUUAGCCUAUCCCAAAAUGGAUAUCAAGGUGGAUUUAAGCGGGAUUAAAUACUAUUUUGGUUCUAUUCAUUUUUAAGCUUUUGUCCAUCAUGAUCCUUGUAUUGAAUUCGAUCAUUUAGUCCAUUUGUUUUAUUUUUUAUGAUGUAUUGUAUCGAGUAGAAGUACUUUUUGCUUGCUGCUUCGGAAGUUGCCUUGUUUGGUUUUGUACCUUAUUUCUCCAUGUGCCUUUUUCUUUUGGGUAUGCAUGUAGGGUUACUUCUCGUUUCGAUUUUUCUCAUCUAUGUUUCGAUUUUCUCAUCUAUGUUUAAAAAUACGCAAGAGAAAGUCAAAGAAGAGGAAAUGGAUUUUUCCUCCUCUUGUUGUGUAUUAAUAUGUUAAAUAGAAAGGGUUGAAAUUAUUUGGUUAGAAAGAAAUAGGAGUGGCCUUUGAGUAAAAUCGUUACAUACAUUGAAAAAUACUGACAAUGACGACACGUGAUGAUUGUUUUCAUUCCGUGUAGCCAUGUCUUGCUUGUCUUUCCCGAUGACCUAUUUACCACGAAUGAGAUUGUGAGAACCCACAUCAGUUGAGGAGAAGAAUGAAGCAUUUUUUAUAAGGGUGUGGAAACCUUUUCCUAAUAGACACGUUUCAAAAACUUUGAGGGAAAGCC